CACUCAGCCACGGGGGACAAGGGUCCACAUCGACUCUGCGGUCGGUUGACCUUCAGACGUCCGGUUUGUAAUCACGCCGC
rnacentral:snoRNA from 1 species